rnacentral:lncRNA from 1 species
GCGUAACAACAUAUACUGCUAUGUUUGGGUAGCUGCUAAGUUCUCGCGCAUAAUGUUAUUGGUACUAGAAAGGUUAGAAUUUCUUAUACUUAUAAACGUAACAAGAUAUAAAUGUGUAAAGCUAUAAAUAAUUAAAAGAGACAAUAACAUAAAAAGAAAUCUGUGCGUAACAAACAAUUAUUAUUUGGGUGAUGUUUCCGCGUCUUUAAUUUAAUAUCUACAGGAUAUAUAUAUGAAAAAUAUAUCGAGACUAUUUCGAUUCAGCUGAUAUUUAGUUCUUCAACAAAUUGUUCCUACAAACUUGAUCCCCUUCCUUUUAGAGAGAAACAUCAUGACUUUGAUAAGUAGAAAUGUACCAUAGCUGGUAAGUCAUAGAAAUUAGAUCUAUAAAUAUCUGCAAUUAGCUGUUACACAAAUUUAAUACGAAAGCAGUGAAUGUAUCGAAGAAACUCGUUGGGCAGCAUCCAUAUGGAAGCUGCUAAGCAUUCGGUAAUCUCGAACAUAAUGAUACGUAAAUCUUCACCCGGGCAUGGUACAUUUUUUACGCUAAUUUAAUUUGAAAGAUAUAUUUGAGGUGGUAUAUAUUGUCCGUUAUGAAUGUAGUUGCCGGCUGUAGAUGUCGCUGCUGGGGUGUUGUUGUUUUUCCUCCUAAUUUAUUUGCGUAGUAGAGAAAUCGGAUUCCGGUCGCCGGGAUUCGAAGUCAGGCUCCGGACGUACGUAACCUAAGGCGCUAAUCACUGCCCUGCUGUCGUCCGAUACUGUUAUUUAUCGAUAUCUGAUUGUUACACUGUCGAUUUACUUUUCUCCAACAAAUAGUAGCAGAAUAAAUAUUCUUUUAUAAUUGAAUAACAUUGAAACACAGCUUCAAGGUGGACAUUCUGAGCAAUAUUUUUCUAUACCUGUUGACGUCGCUUGGCCUUGGUUUCCAAGGUGAGCACAUUUUCAAAUAGACCGAAUUAAACAGAACUCACUAGUGUGAGAGAUAACUAUUUUUAAUAUUAUACGAAUACGAAAAAGAAGUUGAUUACUGGCUUAUGGAUUGGGCAGUAUUAAUAGCGGAUGGCAUAAAAUAAUAUUCGAUAAACUGACUGAUGAAUGGAAUGCUGCACUUAAUACCGACCUUCAAUUAGUCGAAAGUGUCGCAUAUAUACCUUUAUUUAUUGAGAAAUUGUUUACAGAGUAAAAGUCUGUAAAAUGAAUUAUUAAAUAAAACAUAUUAAACAUAAAUUUCUUUGUACC